rnacentral:rRNA from 1 species
AACACACUGUGCUUGCACACCGUGUUUUCUUGAGUCGCGAACGGGUGAGUAACGCGUAGGUAACCUGCCUAUUAGACGGGGAUAACUAUUGGAAACGAUAGCUAAUACCGCAUAAUAUUAAUUAUUGCAUGAUAAUUGAUUGAAAGAAUGGCAAGCGCAUCACUAGUAGAUGGACCUGCGUUGUAUUAGCUAGUUGGUAAGGUAAGAGCUUACCAAGGCGACGAUACAUAGCCGACCUGAGAGGGUGAUCGGCCACACUGGGACUGAGACACGGCCCAGACUCCUACGGGAGGCAGCAGUAGGGAAGUCUUCGGCAAUGGACGAAAGUCUGACCGAGCAACGCCGCGUGAGUGAAGAAGGUUUUCGGAUCGUAAAGCUCUGUUGUAAGUCAAGAACGUGUGUGAGAGUGGAAAGUUCACACAGUGACGGUAGCUUACCAGAAAGGGACGGCUAACUAC